rnacentral:rRNA from 1 species
GACGAACGCUGGCGGCGUGCUUAACACAUGCAAGUCGAACGGAAAGGCCCUGCUCUUGUGGGGUGCUCGAGUGGCGAACGGGUGAGUAACACGUGAGUAACCUGCCCUUGACUUUGGGAUAACUUCAGGAAACUGGGGCUAAUACCGGGUAGGAGCUCCUGCUGCACGGUGGGGGUUGGAAAGUUUCGGCGGUUGGGGCUGGAUUCGCGGCUUAUCAGCUUGUUGGUGGGGUAGUGGCUUACCAAGGCUUUGACGGGUAGCCGGCCUGAGAGGGUGACCGGCCACAUUGGGACUGAGAUACGGCCCAGACUCCUACGGGAGGCAGCAGUGGGGAAUAUUGCACAAUGGGCGGACGCCUGAUGCAGCAACGCCGCGUGCGGGAUGACGGGCUUCGGGUUGUAAACCGAUUUCGCCUGUGACGAAGCGUGAGUGACGGUAAUGGGUAAAGAAGCACCGGCUAACUACGUG